rnacentral:rRNA from 1 species
UUACUCAUGGAGCUGAAGUCAGUCGAAGAUACCAGCUGGCUGCAACUGUUUAUUAAAAACACAGCACUGUGCAAACACGAAAGUGGACGUAUACGGUGUGACGCCUGCCCGGUGCCGGAAGGUUAAUUGAUGGGGUCAGCGCAAGCGAAGCUCCUGAUCGAAGCCCCGGUAAACGGCGGCCGUAACUAUAACGGUCCUAAGGUAGCGAAAUUCCUUGUCGGGUAAGUUCCGACCUGCACGAAUGGCGUAAUGAUGGCCAGGCUGUCUCCACCCGAGACUCAGUGAAAUUGAACUCGCUGUGAAGAUGCAGUGUACCCGCGGCAAGACGGAAAGACCCCGUGAACCUUUACUAUAGCUUGACACUGAACAUUGAGCCUUGAUGUGUAGGAUAGGUGGGAGGCUUUGAAGUGUGGACGCCAGUCUGCAUGGAGCCGACCUUGAAAUACCACCCUUUAAUGUUUGAUGUUCUAACGUGGACCCGUGAUCCGGGUUGCGGACAGUGUCUGGUGGGUAGUUUGACUGGGGCGGUCUCCUCCUAAAGAGUAACGGAGGAGCACGAAGGUUGGCUAAUCCUGGUCGGACAUCAGGAGGUUAGUGCAAUGGCAUAAGCCAGCUUGACUGCGAGCGUGACGGCGCGAGCAGGUGCGAAAGCAGGUCAUAGUGAUCCGGUGGUUCUGAAUGGAAGGGCCAUCGCUCAACGGAUAAAAGGUACUCCGGGGAUAACAGGCUGAUACCGCCCAAGAGUUCAUAUCGACGGCGGUGUUUGGCACCUCGAUGUCGGCUCAUCACAUCCUGGGGCUGAAGUAGGUCCCAAGGGUAUGGCUGUUCGCCAUUUAAAGUGGUACGCGAGCUGGGUUUAGAACGUCGUGAGACAGUUCGGUCCCUAUCUGCCGUGGGCGCUGGAGAACUGAGGGGGGCUGCUCCUAGUACGAGAGGACCGGAGUGGACGCAUCACUGGUGUUCGGGUUGUCAUGCCAAUGGCACUGCCCGGUAGCUAAAUGCGGAAGAGAUAAGUGCUGAAAGCAUCUAAGCACGAAACUUGCCCCGAGAUGAGUUCUCCCUGAGACUUUAGGUCUCCUGAAGGAACGUUGAAGACGACGACGUUGAUAGGCCGGGUGUGUAAGCGCAGCGAUGCGUUGAGCUAACCGGUACUAAUGAACCGUGAGGCUUAACCUU